rnacentral:tRNA from 1 species
GAUGAGAUAAUGUUUCACUUACAAUGAAAAAUACCGUUUGGCAUCCUUAUAUUAAUUAGAAUUUGUAU